rnacentral:rRNA from 1 species
UACGGGAGGCAGCAGUAGGGAAUCUUCCACAAUGGGCGCAAGCCUGAUGGAGCAACACCGCGUGAGUGAAGAAGGGUUUCGGCUCGUAAAGCUCUGUUGUUAAAGAAGAACACGUAUGAGAGGGCUUUCGUACGUUGACGGUAUUUAACCAGAAAGUCACGGCUAACUACGUGCCAGCAGCCGCG